GCCCGGGGCUGCGCGGGGGCGGGUUGCCUCCUCCCUGGGCCUGCCUGGGCAACCGCCUCCGCGAUGCCGUUGCUUGUCGAGGGGAGGCGAGUGCGGCUGUCGCAGUACUCGCCCACGCUGCUGCGUCCGAGCCCACUCUCCUUUGGAGGAAAGAGCCAGACUUCUCAGAGGUCAGUCUGUUCAAGAAGUGGGACCCCAGGGCCUUCUGUGUGUUCAGCGAAGAGAGCUUGCAGUGACCUUCCCGAAGAAUGGCUCCAUCUCCAUUCUGGGUUCUGAUGAUGCCACUACUUGUCACAUUGUGGUCCUGAGGCAAACAGGUAAUGGGGCCACCUGCUUGACACAUUGUGACGGAACCGACACCAAAGCUGAAUUCCCCUUGAUCAUGAACUCCAUAAAAUCCUUUUCCGACCACGUUCAAUGUGGAAGGCUGAAAGUGCACCUCCUUGGAGGCUUCAGUGACCACAGGCAGUUGUCACAAAAACUCACUCAUCAACUUCUUAGUGAAUUUGACAGGCAAGAAGAUGACAUUCACUUAGUGACAUUAUGUGUGACAAUUAAAUGACCGGGAAGAAAACGAAAACCACUUUCCAAUAAUAUAUGGCAUUGCUGUCAACAUUAAGACUGCAGAGAUUUACAGAGCCUCCUUUCAAGGUCCAGGUCCGGAGGAGCAGCUGCUUGCUGCGGGAACUUUAGCAGGAGGACCAAUGAUUAGCAUUUACGAUGCAGAGACAGAACAACUUCGCAUAGGACCGUACUCCUGGACGCCAUUUCCACGUGUGGAUUUCUGGUUGCAGCAAGAUGACAAGCAAAUACUAGAGAAUCUUUCUACUUCGCCUCUGGCUGAGCCGCCCCACUUUGUUGAAUUUAUUAGAUCUACCUUGAUGUUUUUUUAAAAAAAUACCCAUCUCCAACUAACACACUGUUUCCUGGAAAUAAAGCCCUACUCUAAAAAAAAAAAAAAGAAUUACUAGGUCAAAAGAUAAGAAAUUAUUCAAAUGGAUUCUGUGUGCUACCAGGUUGCUGUGAUCUGAAUGUAUCCCCAGAAUUCAUAUGUUAGAAACAUCAUCUCAAACGCACCAGCGUUGGCAGAUGUGGAGUCUUUUGGGAGGUGUUUAGGUCAUGAGGGUAGAGCCCUAUUGAAUGGAUUAUAAAUAAAAGGGCUUGCAGAAUUGGGUUUUCUUACUCUUGCCCUUCUGCCUUCCGACUUCUACCUUCUGUCCACAUGAUGACUCAGCAAGAAAGCCCUCACCAGAUGCUGAUGCCUUAAUCUUGGACUUCCCAGCCUCCGGAACUGGGGAGACAGUCUGG